CAAACUUUGAAUUAUGUGUUCUCCCUGGAGGAGCAGCAGGAACGAGGCGGGCAACUGAGAAGUUCGAACCCGCGGCGUCUUCGAAUUCCGUCGCCGGAGCGCGAGCGAAUCGGAUGCUGCGCCGGAAAUGAGGGUCGAGACUCGGAGGAAAUCUCUCCCGAAGCCCUCCGCCGCCCCCGUCGCCGCCGCCGCCGCCCCGAUGGCGGCGCCUUCCCCCGAUCAGUCAAGAACUCCAUGCUGUCCAGAGAAUGUAGCCAACAAAGAGGAUGGCGUGCUUGGCACAAAUGAAUGUAACGUCAGAGUUGAGCAGCAUGGAGAAGAGGUUCCCGGUACAGACCCUGUGGAGAUUUUACCUGUUGAGAAAUCUCAAAACGGAGGCUUACGAAAUGUUUCUAGUCAAGAAAGUGCGGACAUUCAUAUAUUGGAAAAGAGGACUUGUUUAACAUGCAAUGGACAUGGCCAAUUGCUAGUCUGUAGUGAGCCUAGUUGCCCAAUUGCUAUCCAUGAGAAGUGCCUGAGCUGCAAACCUCAAUUUGAUCAUUUGGGGAACUUCUAUUGCCCUUAUUGUUCAUACAAAAGAGUGGUGGCAAAGGUUCAUGAAUUGAGAAGAAAAGCCAUGUUGCGCAAAGAGGCUUUAUCCAAUUUUCUUGACAAUGGGGUAGUUGAUAAGGGGCAAAGGGAGCAGAUUAGCGGGGUCGAUAAGCGGGGAGACCUCGAUCUAUCUCCAUCUCCAGGACAUGACAGUUGCCAUGACGAUGUGAGUAAAGAAAACUAUGAAGGGCAACAUCAAUCCGAUCCUGUAAAUCCAGUCUACAGUAAACAUGAAGCAUUGGUUGAAAAUCAAACAGAUACAUUGGCUCCUAGUGUCCAUGUUCAGAGAAAUUUAGUCUAUGAAGAAGGGUUACAAGAAGGGGAAUCAAGAGAAGCCACCAAUAACCACUGCAAGGAAGUUUAUGAUCAAGAGAAAGCAGAGACGGCUGAUGAUCAUACUUCAAAAGAAGGGGCAGCUGAGGCAGCUGAGGAUGCUGUACUGUCUAAAUCUUCUGAAGGAAAAAGGCAUCGUAAAAGUAUUCGCAGAAGUCAUGGGCUAAGUAGGAAACGAAAACGGAGGAAGGUCCAGUCAGGUGAUGCUACUGUCUCUUCAAUUCAAGGAGAUUUUGCCACUGAUGUGAACCCAGAAGCAAAUAUGGUAGAUCAAGUAUGUGAUUCUGAUGCGGAGGCUGGUUUCAUGAACAAUGGACAUUCUCCAAGUGCAAAACCUCAAGGCAAGGCACCAGUGGAGGAGGUUGUUUCACCAAGAAAUGGUUCCUCUGAACCAGGCAUCACUAUUACAAAUCAAGGCAAGGCCACUCUUGCUGAAAUGUCAAGACAACAACGACAGUCUCCCAGGAAAUUACCCAAGCCACCACUUCCCAAUGUAAAGCGCAGAUUAAGAUGGUCACCUGAAGAGGAGGAGAUCCUAAAGGAAGGAGUGCAGUUAUUCUCAAGCAAUGCGAACAAGAAUAUCCCUUGGAGGAAAAUUCUGGAAUAUGGUUGUCGUGUUUUCAAUCCAAGUCGCACACCUGUUGAUCUCAAGGAUAAAUGGAAGAACAUCGCUACCAGAAGAUAGCGAUAUCAGUCCAUAGUUUUUGAAGAGGGCAAAAGUCAUUCAGAAGACGCUAGUAUUUUACUACUAUCUUUUCCACCCUCCUCUCUCUCCGUGAGGAUUUAGUAGGUUUUUGGUGAGGGAAGAAGCCUCUCUCGUAGCUCGGGAUGGCAGCAUUUGUACAUAAGAAAUGAUAUCCUGCUAAAAUUGUUGGAAUCAGUUCAGUUCCGUCCCCAUAGAAUGAACAAGAGUCGGAGAUUGCUUGCCGAUGGCACGAUGUGGACUACUUAUCUUCUUCAGUCUUGAAAGCCUCUGAAAUGAGAUCUCCAUCAAUUCCAGGCAUGUAGUCAUCAUCUUCAAAUUUUUUCCGAUGAACAAAACAGAGAAAUGAAGACAUUCCUAUCGGUGAUUUCUGCCCAAUUAGAGUAACGGAAAACUGCUAAAACGAAAUAUUGCAGAUUGUCAUACACUUGCUUACCUCACUUAUUAAGAAAAAAGACCUUUACAUCGUAAAGUAUUCAAGUCCUCUCUUCCUCUGCUAGUUACAUCUGGUCGCACUGAGAUAUACAUUACAGGUCUAGUGGGAGAACCAUGGAGCUACCUUAAAGAGAUUAUGACUUCCAGUUGCGUCACUUUCUCAAUGCAAAGCUUUUGCUAGAUCGCAAUUGCACAGUUUCUAGAUCACGGUUCCGCUGGGAAGCAAAGCAUCCUUGAUCACCGUGACAAUCCCACUCUUUAUGAAGUAUCCAUCUGUUUCUCUUGCAGCUUCUUGAACGUCAUCGCUGUUAAUGAUCUGGACCAUAAAGCAAUACCAGUUAGCCUCCAAAAUGCGAGGACAAAAAAGGUCAUAAGAUCAGUUGCAUGCUAAGUGAUCAUGGACGAACUAGUCAAUCAUAGUGAAAGUGAAGAAACAAAAGAAUGGUGAUCGGAAUGCAAGGCUACCUUCACAUUCUCCCCUAUGCGGGCAUUUUUGUCGAUAAUUGCUCUCUUAAUAUGCGAAUUCUUGCCGAUACCAAUUGGGACACUGCCCUUGGCAGCCAGAAAUCUCCUAUCAGCAUCCGUCUGGAGCAAGAAGAGAUGGGGGAAACAAGUCAAAAUAUGCACCAAAAUACCUCGCCAUAACAGGAGAAUGGUGAGUAAAUCUAAGUGCAGAGCUCGAUUGAGAAAACCUCAAUCAUUCAAGGGUGAUGGUUACCUCAUAAUAAUCUGCGCCCAUUAAUAAGGUGUCUUCUAUUAUCGCACCUUCCGAAAUGCAAGAUCGAAGUCCUAUCACCGAAUGGUGGAUCUUGCAGUUCUGCAUUUCAAGAACAUGGAAAGGUAAUAAUUGAAUGAUUUAUCCAUUUCCUUUAGCACUACUCAUAGGAUAAAAUGUCAUUCACUAUCAGCUAAUUCAGAAGACCAAUGGCUUGAGGAAGAUACCUUAAUAACACAUCCUUCACCAAUAACACUGUCUGUCACAUCAGCAUCUAGCAUCUUGGAAGGGGGCAGAUACCGUGGUUGGGUGUAGAUUGGAGAUGAACGAUCAUAGAAACUGCAAAAGGAAUGCAUUGGUGUCAAGUCAUUCGUCUAUACGGUGUUCUGUCAAGAAUAUCCAGAAAUGUGCAGAACUCAGAAAGGUAAUCUACAAUUUUGUUAUCGAA